ensembl:lncRNA
GCAUGCUGAAAAAGCAAACAGAUUUAUUUGAUUUCAUUCAUUUUCUUUUAUAACAAAAAUUGACAUAGUGCUUACAUGCCAGAACCCUCUUCUAAGCACUUUGCAAAUAUAACUCGUUUCAUUUGCAUGACAAUCCUCUAAGGUGGGUACUCUUAUUAUUAUCAUCCCCAUCUUACAGAUGAGGAAACUGAGGCGCAGAGAGGGGAUGCGACCUCCCCAAGGUCACACAGCAGUGCACUUGGGCAGUGGGGCUGCAGAAUCCACUCUUAAACUCUACCCGACAAUGCUUGUCUGUGCUCGCCGUCCUUCUGGCCUCUCUUCUUAAUGAUGGAAGAUAUCACACUAGCAGUUGGGGGAUUGAGGCUGAGUGACGGGAGUGGAAGGUUUGAGAAGAGAGGAGAGCCACCAGCCGCCGCCUUGGAGAGGAGACCUUACUAGAAAAACAGGAGGGCUACGGGUUUGAGGUUUGUGGUGCUGGGUUUGCUGUGAAAUCCGGGAGGCUGGCUGUUUGCCUAUUUUCUGCAUCGCGGUGAGGAACGGCUUUGGCAGGAGCAGGAGGAGAAAAGUGGCCCCUCCUCAGCUCACCGUCCAUCUGCUGAUCCUCCCUGCUCCCUGAGCCCUGGAAACUGGCGCCGGCUGGCCCGUCUGUCCUUCCAGCCAACCGCCUGGAUCCAAGUGAGCUAAGCUCGGGGGACCGAGCAUGUCCCCAGGCCGCGUGGGAGGGAAGGGCCUGGAAGGAUGUCACAGACCAGAGUCCAAAGGAAAUGAAUUCCAUGCCAGGAACGGGGAGCCCAGGGCAGGGGGCGGGGAGCUGUGGGGCUGGAGGGAAUGUGAGGGCCUCCAAGGUGGCCGGGGAGGUUUCUCUCUCAGCGCCAGAGAAAGCAGGGCCUGUGGCCGGUCCCCUCCCGCAGUCCCGGCGAGUCACGGAAAGACCCAGGGUUCUGCGGUGAGCCGGCCCUGAGCUGGAAUCUCAGCGCUGUGGUUUCUUGGCUGGAUGCGACUUUAGGGACUCUGAUGGGCUGAGCUCCGUAUAAAUCCUCAGAAUGUCGCUUCACAGAUGUGAUCAAGUUAAGGAGAGUGAGACAGGGAGCUGAUCCUGGAUGAUCCAGGCGGCCCAGUGUGAUCCAAAGUGUCGUCAUAAAGAAAAGAGGGAGGCAGGAGGGCUGACGCAGAGACGGAGGUGCCAGGAGGGAGCAGAGACUGACGGACGCGAGAAAGGGCCCUGAGCCAGGAGUCCAGCGGCCUCUGGAAACUGGAAAGAGCAAGAAAACGAUUCUUCGCUGGAGCCUCCAGAAGGAAUCAUUCUAGACUUCCAGGCUCCAGAACUUAAGACGAUAAAUGCGUGUCGUUUGAAGCCACUGAGUUUGUGGUGAUCUGUUACAGUCGCAGAAACUUGCUGGGGUAAGUUUCUUCAUCCCCCCCGAGCCUCAGUUUUCUCAGUCCAUGAAUUGGGGCUCACUGACUCCUCACGGCGUUGUCACCCCCGUGGAUGCACGGAUGCAUGGACGCACUGGACAUGCAUAGGAUGGUGGCCGGCACCCAGUAAAUGCUCGAGAAACAUCAGCUCUCCUGCCCUCAAAAUGGAGAUAAACCGUUCGUUUAUCUGACAAACAUUCAUGGAACGCCUACAAUGUCACGGCCAGCGUUCUGAGUGCUGGAGAUGCCGCGUGAACAAGACAGGCCGGCACUCUGGCCCUCGGGAGCUUCCAUUCCAGAGAGAGAGAAGAACAAGAGAAAUGAGGACACACUGUGGGAUUUCGGACGGUGAAGAUCAUGGAGUCACAGAUUCCCAGAGGUUGUCCCCCAGGCUGUAAAUUCCACACCCUACGACGAGGAGUCCUCCUCACCCCCUACAGGAUGCUCUGCUUCCUCCUUAUGUCGGACUCUCCCGUUCUUCAUCUCCUUCAUGACCCUGAACUCCAGCGGUUACUAUGGUAACUCAACCGCCAUGCCCGGCCCCCUUCUUUACCACCCGCCUCUGCUUCCAAGGCUGAAAACCAGGGACUCAGUUUCCCAGCAUCCUUUGCUACCAGUGACAGUCAUGUGACAGCAUGGUGGCCAAUGAGAUGAAAGCAGAAGUCAGCUGGGAGGCUUCUGGGAAGCCUUGGUGGUUCUUCCCUUCUUCCUGCCUUGAAUGUGGAUGUGAUGGUCAGAGUUGUGGCAGCCAUCCUGUGGUCAUGAGGCAACAGGCACGAAAGUCAACAUGCUAAGGGUGGUGAGGCAGAGAGACAGAAAGAACCCGAGAUGUCAGCUGUCAGUGAAUUAACGCCUGAAACCUCCUUCUUCCAGAUUUUUUUUGUGUGAGAAAAAUAAGUACCUGUUUGUUGACAUCAUUGAUUCCUGUUAACUUGCAGUCAAACACAUUCUCUGAUGAUUUUCUUCCAGGAGGGAAACUGGGCCCAGAGAGCCAUGGGAUGGUACUCAACAUGUCACGGACCGUUGCUGGAGGUGCCAGGACAGGACUGCAGGAGGGGACAGUGUGAGAUCUCAGACCUUAAAACCAGAGAGAGAGGCGGCCUCCAUUCUUUUUUGGGGAAAAUAAGAAUUUGGGGACUAUGAGUUUAAAAUGUGCCAGGAUCUCUUCCUGAAGAAAAACUUGGUCUCAGAUUCAAAAUAUAAAACCAACAGGCGGAGACACGCAGGGAGGGCAGACUCGGAGAAGCAUUGGAAUUCCCAGGUGUCCUUUGGGUGCCAAACAAAGAAACAAGCGAUAAAACCACACUGCUCUGCCCACAUUGUAUUCCCAAGAACCAACUCUGCCUUUUUUACAGAAGCCUGAGCUUCUGUAGUUUAAAAGUAAAAUAGCCAUGCCCAGUGGUGUAGCAGUUAAGUUUGUGCACUCCAUUUUGGUGGCCCAGGGUUCAUGGGUUCAGAUCCUGGCUGUGAACCUAGCACCACUCAUCAAGCCAUAGUGUGGUGGCAGUCCUGCAUACAAAAUAGAAGAAGAUUGGCACCGAUGUUAGCUCAGGGCCAAUCUUCCUCAGCAAAAAAAAAAAAAAAAAAAGUAAAAUAGCCCAGUAAAGACAGCCUCUUAGUUUGAUGUGAUCAACACAUAGGGAAGGUGAUUCCUAUCAGUUCACCCUGGAAAGACACUACAUGAAUUUUAUACCAGAACCUGCAUGUGGCUGCGCAGCCCAGAGCUGGGGAAGGAGUGUGUGUCUCUCCAUCAGGUCGACUUCACCUGGGGGACCCAGAGGCCUCAUUUCUCCACUUGUAUCAGUCAGUCGGGGUAACGUUAGCUGCUGUAACAAACAAGCUCGAAAAUGUGAAACGGCUCAAACAAUGACAGAAGUUGAUUGUUGCUCGUGGAAAGUCGUGGUUUUUCUUGAUCAGCCGGUGGUUUUCCUCAAGGUGUGACUCAGAAACCCGGGUUCCUGCCACCGCCUGGCUCCUCCAUCUCCAACGCUUGGCUUCCAAGGUGGCCCCAGGGGUCGUCUCUGUUCCAGUCGGCUUGAAAGAGAGAAGUGAAUAGAGGGUGAUGGUGGGAGGCUUUAACCGGCCAGCCCGGGUAGUGUGCACGUCCUUUCCAGUCAUGUCCUGUUGCUUAGAACUCAGUCACGUGGUCACACCUAAUGGAAGGGAGGCUGGGGGUGUUGUGCAGAGCUGUGCAUAGCGGCACAAGGAAACAGUCCUGCAGGACCACCAGCCUCUGCUGGUCUUCAUAGUCCUGAAAUAGUAAUAAUAAGAUGCAACUACAGGGGCCGGCCCAGUGGCGCAGCAGUUAAGUGCGCAUGUUCUGCUUCUUGGCAGCCUGGGGUUCGCCGGUUCAGAUCCCGGGUGCGGACAUGGCACCGCUUGGCAAGCCAUGCUGUGGCAGGCGUCCCACAUAUGAAGUGGAGGAAGAUGGGCACGGGUGUGAGCUCAGGGCCAGUCUUCCUCAGCAAAAAGAGGAGGAUUGGUGGCAGAUGUUAGCUCAGGGCCAAUCUUCCUCAGGAAAAAAAAAAAGAUGCAACUACAAAAAUAGGAAAAUGGUGGUGGUGUGGUGAACUGUGAUGUUGGUCUAGCCAGCAUCCUUCUUCCAGCAGCUCCAGCCUUCAUGUUCCUCAGGAAACCACGCCUCUCGCUGUCUCUUCCAUGUGAUUCCCACGGCACUGACUCCAUUUCCGUCCCUGGGUCAGCACACGACCCACGCACAGUCAAGCAACGCUCAAGCUGGGACUUUUCCUGGAGUGACUGAGACACGGAGGCUGUCUUUCCUCUUCAUACUGGAUGAAUCUGGGAAGACAGGAGCCUUGAGCGGCUGGGAGCCUACCUGUGAAAAGAGCCAACACAGAAGAAACUCUAGAGUCAGAGGGAGACAGAUUCUGAGGACAUUAUCUCGCACCUGGAUUCAGCCAUGCCUGAAGUCAACCAUCCCUGAGUUAUGUUAGCCAAUAAAAUUCUUUAUGAAAAAUUUUAUUUCUCUUAAGCCAAUUUGGACUGUAGCUCUAUUAUUUGCAACCAAAUGAUGUCCAACUAAUAAAUUUAUUGACAUUCCCAAUACUACUACUGGCCAUAAUAAUAAAAAGUUACAUAAUGCUUACCGCAUGCAAGCCACUUAACCUGCAUUAACUCAUUUACCUUUUUUUUUUUUUUUUUUUUUUUGCUGAGGAAGAUUCACCCUGAGCUAACAUCUGUGCCAAUCUUCCUCUUCUUUAUAUGUGGAUCACCGCCUCAGCAUACCUGACGAGUGGUGUAGGUGUAGGUCCACCCCUGGGAUCUGAACCCGUGAACCUGGGCCGCUGAAGUGGAGUGCGCGAACUUAACCACUACACUGUGGGGCUGGCCCCCUGCGAGAACACAUUUAAUCUCCAUGACAACCCUAGGAGGGUCAUUCUAUUAUCCCUGUUUUACGGCAGAGGAUGCUGAGGCUCAGAGAGGUUAAGAAAAGCUGGCAAUGUUCGUACAGCUAGUAAGCAGAGAACUUGAGUCCAAACUCAAGCGUUCUUGGCUGAUUUAUUAGUUACACAUGCAAAAAAUUCAUUGAACUACAAGCCAGACGUUGUUCUAGGCCACUUAGGAUGCAGCAGUGAACAGAAACUAAAAGAAAAUUCCUGCCCUCGUGGAGCUUACAUUCUAGUAGGAGCAGGCAAAUAACAAGCAAAAACCAUAAAUAUGUAAAUGAUACAGUAAGUAAGAAAGUGAAAAGUGGUGAGGAUGUAAGAGGUCGGAGAUGGGGGUAUUUUUUUGGUCAGAUUAUGUCUUAUUGAAAAGGUAACAUUUGAGCAAAGACUUAAAGGAAAUGAGAGAGUAAGUCAUGGAAAUAUCUGAGGCAACAUCAGUUUAGGCAGAGGGAACAGCCAGUGCAAAGGGCCUGAGGCAGCACUGUGCCUACUGCAAUGAAAAAAAAAAAAAGGCCAGAGUAGCCAGGGCAGAGUAAGGAAGACAGAGAGUGAAGGGAGAUGGAGUCAAAGAGGUAAAUAGAAGGCACAAUGAGGAGACCAUGAUGAGAACCUGAGCUUUUACUCUGAGGGGUUCUGAACAGAGAGGGACGUGAUCUGACGUAGGUGUUAACAGGAGCCCUCCGGCUGCAUGUGGGGAAUCUUUUACAGAGGAGCCAGAGGUUGCUAGAUAUAACAAAUAAAAAUACAGGAUGCCCAGGGAAAUUUAAAUUUCAGAUAAACGAGGAGUAAUACUUUAGUGAUAAGCAUGUCUCACACAAUAUUUGGGACAUACUUAUACCAAACAAAAUUGUUUAUCUGCAAUUCAAGUUUCACUGGGUGUCUUAUACUUUUCCGGCAGUCUCACUCCCUGGGGUGGAAACAGGGGGGCCAGUGAGCAAGCUGGGAGGUAGGAAGUGAUGGAGACCAAACUAGGGUAAAAAGUGGGUGGAUUCUGGGUCCCUCCGGAAGGUCGAGCUGAUGAUAUUUCUUAACAGGUCCUGUGUGAUACAUAGGAGUACGCAGGGGUCAAAGGUGACUCCCAUAUCUGGGCCUGAGCACCUGGAAGGAUGGGGUUACCGUGGACUGACAUGGGGAAGAUGAGAGAGGGCGGGUUUGGGGAGAAAUGUAAGGUGUUCCCUCUGGACCGUUGGGUGUGACAUGUCCAUUCGGGACCCAAGUGGGGCUGACAAGAAGCCGCUUGAACCCGCAGUCUGGAAUUUAGGAAACAAGUCCUCCUCUCACGGUGGGCUGCCCUCUUGGACUUCAAGGUCAGGCUCCCCCUGCCAGGUGAAGGGCGAGGGGGCGGUCAGCGGGUGCAAGCCACGACCCAGAAGGUCGUCGUGGCCUCCCCAAGCCGUCCUCCCUCGAACAAGGAGACAGAGGAGACGCCUUCGCUACUUCCCUGGUGUCACAACUUGAAUGGUGUCCAGCGAAAAAGAUAUGUUCAAGUCCUGGCCCCCAGGCCCUCAGAACGUGACUUCAUUUGGAAACCGGGUCUUUGCAGAUUUAAGGUACGUUGAGAUGAGGUCGUGCAGGUCGUGAGAUGAGGUCGUGUAGGUUGAGAGGAGCCCUAAUCCUGUAUGGCUGGUGUCCUUAUAAAAUCUGGACACAGACACGCUCAGAAGAAAGGCGACGUGAAGAUACACGGGGAGAAGACGACCGUGUGGCUGGCGCGAUGCGUCCACGAGCCAAGGAUGGCCGGCAGACACCCGGAGCCGGAAGAGGCCGGGGUAUCCUCCCCAAGAGCCGUGGAUCCAGACUUCCGGCCUCCAGAGCUGCGAGAGAACACACUUCUGUUGUUCUGAACCACUCGAUUGAGGGUGCUUUCUCACGGCGGCCCCUGGAAACGAAUGCACCCGGGAAGCGCUCGUCUUGGUUGGUGGCCUUCUUGACACCUGGUCCCCGAGGGAGGGCGUUGUGAGUUUGGUGACCUGGAACCUUCUCCAAAAGCACAACCAAGAAAGGCCUUGAGCCUGCUCGUUGCGGGUAUGUAGCCUGGAGGUCUGGCUGAGCAGCUUGCAGGCUUCUCUGUGCGACACUGUCCACCCCGCAGUGGUCACCGAGGGCAGCAGGAUGGCCGCUGGUUGAGGGACAAGCUCAGCCAGCCUGGCCUCUCCAGCAUGCACCAGAUCCUUGUGGAAACCUUUUUUCUGCUUUUCCAAGCUCUUGCUGAACUCGAUGAAAGCACCUGCCGAGGCCAGCAGUCGGUGGAUGACGGCCCACUGCUUGUCUUUAUAAAUAAAGUUUUAUUGAGACACUCAUUCAUUUGCAAAUUGUUAUUUACGCCGCCUUCACACCACAAUGGCAGAAAUGAGUAAUUGCAAUGGAGAGUGCACGGUCCCCAAAGCCCAAAAUAGUUACUCUCUGGCCCAUUCCAUAAACAGUCUGCCAACCCCUUGACCUAGACAAGUCUCCCUGAUGGUUCGUAGACCUAAUUCCUUCCACCAUCCUCUGGAAGGAAAACUGGGCUGCUGAGAGUUCUUGGGGGAGUUUUUCACAAGGAUCGACCCCAUCGGUGUGUGUCUGCCCGCUUAGCCAUGAGCAUUUGACAGGACCGGCUCC